CAGAAAGGAAGAAAGAAAAGUCAUAGCUAUGAGGAAAAUUAAAGUAGUUCAGAAGAAAUGAUGCCAAAAAUCUGACAAAAGCUCCUGCAGGCCUUGUUGCAUAGUAUAACACAUAACAGCUACAGCCAUUGCAAUAUGCAUAUAGUACUGAGAGCUCUCUCUCUCUCUUUCUCUCUCUCACUCACAAAUAUUCAUUUAAUGUAUGACUGGGAAGGGUUAAACUUAAAAUGUCAUCACUUCUAUUGAAGUAAGAGGACAAAGUCUGAAUUCUUAUUGAUUUUGUCAAAAUAUAAAGAGCUAGCCCUCCAGGAUCAUUUCAGAACCAAGGGCAAAAAAAACAUUUUCAUUUUCAAAUCCAAUCUAUCCAGCGGUGGAUCACAUGCAAGUUUACGUGGCAUUGUUGGGGGCAGUGCUCCAACUGGACUUAGCAUUAAGCCUUAAAGAUGGCUGUCUAACACGGAGGGGUCAAAAAAGUUUCCCUAGCCCAGAGACAACAAUGAAAGAAUGUCUUUUGUACUCUUCUGCAUCCUGCUGCACUGCUAACUUCACUGAAGAGCUUGUCUCCCCUGUGACAAAAGUGGAAAACACCAAAUGGGAUAUCUGUCAGCCACUUAGUGACAGGUGUGAGACAUAUAUGAAAAGAGUCGAGUGCUUCUAUCAGUGCUCGCCACAAGCAGUUCACUGGACGAACCCCAACUACACUGCUGGCGUCUUGCAUGUCCCAGUCUGUGUCAGCUUCUGUGACAGUUGGUUUGAUGCAUGCAAGGAUGACCUGACCUGUGCUAAAAACUGGCUCACUGACUUCAAAUGGGAGAAUGACAACAACCAGUGUCAACAUGAUUGUCUUCCUUUUAGCACAAUGUACACCAAUGGGUCAGACCUGUGCCGGUCCAUGUGGGGUUCAUCCUUUAUGGCGAGCUCUUCAGAGGACCGCUGUUUACAGAUGGAUGACCAGGAUGACAAGGUCCUGUCCCGCAUCCUCUGCCCAAGCUCCAGGUCCAAGAGUACUGCACCCAGCCAGGAGCCCUGCCAUCAGUCAGCCCUGAUUUUGGAUGAGAUUUUCCCUGACCAGGAGUUCUGGGAUAGACUGUAUAGCUCCAGAAUCUUUGAUUUUGUUCGCAAGGUAGCAUCAUCGAUGAACUAUUUAGCGGACUUAGCUGUCUAUUUAUCACAUAACAUACGGGGCUAGCAUAGUGCUUAAGGUGCAUGACAUGCAAGGUUGAUGGUUCGAUCCCCGGUGUAGCCACAAUAAGAUCCGCACAGCCGUUGGGCCCUUGAGCAAGGCCCUUAACAAUGUAUUGCUCCAGGGGAGGAUUGUCUCCUGCUUAGUCUAAUCAACUGUACGUCGCUCUGGAUAUGAGCGUCUGCCAAAUGCCAAUAAUGUAAUGUAAUGUAAUGUAAUGUAACUAAGUAUCACAUGGUCUAGCACAUUAAACUAGGAAAGGGAUGAGUGAGUAGCUGCUUACCUCAGACACAAACAAACAACCACAUCGAAAAUCACUGUGUCAUCUCCAUAGCUGUCAUUACAGCCCUGAUGAUUUCCCCUUCAUAUGUCCCAGCUGGUAAUAUCUAGCUAACACAUGUCAAUACACAUAACAUUUAAUAAAGAUUUACAGAAACCUCAUCAUUAUUCGCAUUAUCAUCGUCAUCAACUUCUGUUUCUGGUUAUUUAUAUUUAUUUGGCUGUACUCAGAGAACGUGUCGUAUGUCAAAUAAAAUGAUUUUGUCUUUGAUUA